rnacentral:rRNA from 1 species
UACGUAGGUGGCAAGCGUUGUCCGGAUUUACUGGGUGUAAAGGGCGUGCAGCCGGAGAGACAAGUCAGAUGUGAAAUCCACGGGCUCAACCCGUGAACUGCAUUUGAAACUGUUUCCCUUGAGUGUCGGAGAGGUAAUCGGAAUUCCUUGUGUAGCGGUGAAAUGCGUAGAUAUAAGGAAGAACACCAGUGGCGAAGGCGGACUACUGGACGAUAACUGACGGUGAGGCGCGAAAGCGUGGGGAGCAAACAGG